rnacentral:lncRNA from 10 species
GGUGGGGCCCUUGAGAAGUGAUUAGGUCAUGAGAGUGGAGUCUGCAUGAAUGGGCUGAAUGCCCUUAUGAGGGAGGUUUCAAGGAGUUUGUAUUUCCAUCCACCACUUGAGGAUACAGCAGGAAGGCCCCGCCACUCAAGCAGAAAGCCCUCAUGAGACGCUGAUCUGCCAGUGCCUUGAUCUCACACUUGCCAGCCUCCAGAACUGUGAGCAAAUACAUUUCUGUUGCUUGUAAAUAUCCCAGUCUAGGGCAUUUUGUUAAAGCAGCCCCAACAGACUGAGACUCCACAUUUGGAGCCUCAUGCGCAUCAGCCCGCCUGCAGGAUUUAAAAUAUGAGUCGCUCUACCAGCAGGAACACAGCGUGUCACAGGGAGACCAGGACACCACACGGCUUUCAGUGCAAACUUGCUGACCACACAGGAGCUUUCCCAGAAAACACAGAAACAUGGAGUAUUACACACAGCACUGAUUCAACUAAUUCACACUUCGUUUGUGAAGUAUGCCGUUUUCAUAGCCUUGUAAAGAAGUUACAGGAUUCUUCAAAGGGAUCCCUUCACUCAUCUGAGACACCCACUGCACAGUGUUUAAAAACAUGUUUGCUCUGGUUUAUACGCAGGAAGAGUCUAAACAAAAAGAAAAAAUGCAGAAAAAUAAUCUUUUCUCCAACAACUCUCCCCAAGCUGAUAUUUCCAUGGUGUUAUUCAAACCAGAAAAGCCUUCUCCUAUUGAAACUUGAAAUGUCCUAUUAAUGAACUGGGUGGUGGGGUGGGGGGGUGGAAGAUUAAAAGGAAGGCAAGAUAAAGACGCCUGUCGGAGCCUUUAAACCCUCCCUUCUCCGACCAAGGCUGCCCACAGGGAGGGCACGGAGGUGGAAUUCGCUUCCGCAGGCAGUCUCCCCAGGCGUCCUCCUGGACUCCGAAGCUCUGACUACCCCACACUGCCAAGUCCCUGGAUCUGCCUCUCUGAAGAGCCAUCCAGACCGACAUGCAGGGAGACCAUCUUCCUGGACACGGAGCCUCUGAAUCCCGGGGUCUCUCAUGCUGCACCCGUUAAAGUCUUCCUGUGGCCCUGACACCUCCAUCUCCCCUUUAUCCAGAAAAGAUGCAGGAACAAAUCUGCUUCAAUGUAAUUUAACUUAGCAGCCCAGAAUCUUUGCUCUUUCUGAUUUGAACUGAUUAAAAAACUUUAUAGAUAAUCAGACCAUACCUGUCCUAUUAAACAGAAAUUUAAAAGACUCAAAAUGUGGGCCAGGCACGGUGGCUCACACCUGUAAUCUCUGCACUUUGGGAGGCCGAGGCAGGCUGAUCACAAGGUCAGGAGUUCGAGACCAGCCUGACCAACAUGGUGAAACUCCAUCUCUACUAAAAAUACAAAACAAAUUAGCCAGGUGUGGUGGCUCAUGCCUGUAAUCCCAGCUACUCAGGAGGCUGAGGCAGGAGAAUCGCUUGAACCCAGGAAGCAGAGGUUGCAGUGAGCCGAGAUAGUGCCACUGCACUCCCGCCUGGGUGACAGAGCGAGAGACUCUGUCUCAAAAAAAAAAAAAAAAAAAAGAAGACGCAAAAUGUGUUAACCUGUGGAUAACAAAGUCUGUUUAACCAACAUUGCAAUACUUCACUUGGCAAAAUGAUACCCUGAAUCAUGAUAUAAAUGCCAGAUGCAUCGUAAGUUAAAUCCUCAACUUGGAAAACCUUUCCAGGCAUAUCAACAACCAAAAUUGCAGUUUUAGUCCUAAGAAAUACAGUUUUGUUCCCAAGACUUAGAGGCCCUCUUGGGUACCAAGUGUCUUUUGAACCGUGCAGCUAUCAGACAAUGAACUCAUCAAAUGUUUCUCCUGUAAUGCCACCCUUUAACCUACCGCUGUGGAUAUUUGUAAACUUUGUCUCUGUCAAAACAGACUGGCUGUAUCCAACAGCCUCCACCUUCAAAAAAAAGCUACUGAUUUAGCAAGGCUGCCCCAGUUCAUAGAACCUAUGUGUCUACCAUGCAAUCCAUUAUUGCUUAACAUAUACAACCUUAUCAAGUUUUAUGUAAGAAUGUUUUACUAGUAAAAUCUUAAUAUGGGCCCAUAAAAUAAUCAAACACAAACGUAGAAAACUUAACAUUCAACAUGAUAUUAAAAUAUCUCCUAGGGUCAAACAUCAAGGCUUCGAAUAAUUUAAUGAUCAAUAAAAAUUAACAUUGAAUUUGGUAGCAAACACUUAUAAAAUGGCAUCAUACAUUUGUAUCUGUUAAAUGCUUUAAGCACAUAGUUUUACAGAUGAUACAUGUUAUCCAAAAACUUACUCACUUUAUUUUGGCAGAUUUGAUGGACAGGCCGUGAGUGGGCUUCCGCUAUCACCGCUGCACUGCAGCCGGCGUUGAGGUCAAACACUUCCACGGUCCUGUUCCGGCCAGCUGCGAGUACGAUGUCUGCG